rnacentral:misc_RNA from 1 species
GAUGAAGAACGUAGUGAAAUGCGAUAAGUAAUGUGAAUUGCAGAAUUCAGUGAAUCAUCGAAUCUUUGAACGCACAUUGCGCCCGCCAGUAUUCUGGCGGGCAUGCCUGUCCGAGCGUCAUUUCAACCCUCGAACCCCUCCGGGGGGUCGGCGUUGGGGAUCGGCACUUACCUGCCGGCCCCGAAAUACAGUGGCGGCCUCGCCGCAGCCUCUCCUGCGCAGUAGUUUGCACACUCGCACCGGGAGCGCGGCGCGUCCACGGCCGUAAAACAACCCAAACUUCUGAAAUGUUGACCUCGGAUCAGGUAGGAAUACCCGCUGAACUUAAGCAUAUCAAUAAGCGGAGGA